UAGAAUGAAGCUCCCUGGAUUGAGCGUUAGCUGUUAACUAAAAUGGUGCGGGAUCAAGGCCCGUCUUUCUAGAA
rnacentral:tRNA from 1 species